rnacentral:rRNA from 1 species
UACGUAGGGGGCAAGCGUUGUCCGGAAUUAUUGGGCGUAAAGAGCGUGUAGGCGGCCAGAUAAGUCCGCUGUGAAAUCUCGAGGCUCAACUUCGAGCUGUCGGUGGAAACUAUCUGGCUAGAGUCCGGAAGAGGAGAAUGGAAUUCCUGGUGUAGCGGUGAAAUGCGCAGAUAUCAGGAAGAACACCCGUGGCGAAAGCGGCUCUCUGGGACGGUACUGACGCUGAGACGCGAAAGCGUGGGGAGCGAACAGG